UCGAUUGAGUUUGAUCCUGGCUCAGAACGAACGCUGGCGGCAGGCCUAACACAUGCAAGUCGAACGCGUGUAGCAAUACACGAGUGGCGCACGGGUGAGUAACACGUGGGAAUCAACCUUGAGGUUCGGAAUAACCGCGGGAAACUGCGGCUAAUACCGGAUGUCCCCUAUGGGGGAAAGAUUUAUCGCCUUGGGACGAGCCCGCGUCCGAUUAGCUAGUUGGUGAGGUAAUGGCUCACCAAGGCUACGAUCGGUAGCUGGUCUGAGAGGAUGACCAGCCACACUGGAACUGAGAUACGGUCCAGACUCCUACGGGAGGCAGCAGUGGGGAAUAUUGGGCAAUGGAGGCAACUCUGACCCAGCCAUGCCGCGUGGGUGACGAAGGUCUUCGGAUUGUAAAGCCCUUUCGGCGGAGACGAUGAUGACGGUAUCCGCAGAAGAAGCCCCGGCUAACUUCGUGCCAGCAGCCGCGGUAAUACGAAGGGGGCUAGCGUUGUUCGGAAUUACUGGGCGUAAAGGGCGUGUAGGCGGUCCGCUAAGUCAGGUGUGAAAGGCCUGGGCUCAACCCAGGAAAUGCGCCUGAGACUGACGGACUUGAGUCCGGGAGAGGAUGGUGGAACUCCCAGUGUAGAGGUGAAAUUCGUAGAUAUUGGGAAGAACACCCGUGGCGAAGGCGGCCAUCUGGACCGGUACUGACGCUAAGGCGCGACAGCGUGGGGAGCAAACAGGAUUAGAUACCCUGGUAGUCCACGCCGUAAACGAUGAGUGCUAGACGUUGGGAAG
rnacentral:rRNA from 1 species